CCUGUCUGUAUCUUCUAGGUUUUGCAUGGACGCUGUAGCUGAAUCAGAGGCGGAUGAUCUCGAUUAUACGAUUCUCGAUCUCACAAGCUUUGUGGUCCACGAUCUCGACUACAUCCGAGUUGCCUUCGAGUUUAACGGAAUUGGACCUGACGGAAAAUCGACUUUCGAGUUUUGAUUCUCGGAUUAGAGAGGUCUAGAACCUGAAGAAGCUCUCUCUUAGUCAGAACUUCAUCAAUGAUGCUACGGCUGAAUCGCUUUCUCGCUGGUGCGCACUGUCAGGUCUCGAGUGUGAGUCCUGAAGCGAUUCUCAGAUAGAGAGGUCUAGAACCUGAAGAAGCUCUCUCUUCGUCAGAACCUCAUCAAUGAUGCUACGGC